AGAGGGCAAAAUAGUGGCCCUCUGUUUGAAGCAGAAGCCGUUUCACAUUAGAUGUUGCCUAUGUUCCAGUGGCACAUAAAAUCCCACAUUAAACAAGACAUCAUUUUGUUGUACAUCUUUCAUCAUUACAGUUGGGUAAGGAGGUUGGGGAGAUUUUGUCUCUCACCACCUCUCAGGAAGUUGGAUGUCAACAUAUGAACCCCUCCCCUCUGUUACCAAGGGUGAGAGAUAUUGUGGCUUCUUCUUGGAUAUCUGAAUGGUGGUGAGAUCAACCUCUGGGCCAGCCAAGUAUGGAACUCAAUCCAAAACAACGGACUUCUUUUGUUUCGUGUCAGUUCAGCUUCCUACAAACAAAAUUAAAGCAGCAUUGGUUUAGUAAUUGGAAAUGCAUAUCAAAGAAAAGAAGCUUAACUCAAAACAGAUUUUCCUAACCAUCUUCAAUGUACAUGUGUAGGAGAAAUGCAUUCUUUAUUUGUAGCAGUGCAAAUGUCAGUGAUUACAAACAUGUGUGUGACUGUU
rnacentral:lncRNA from 1 species